UGCAGUGACGAUGAAAAUUUAGGUUUUAGUUGAUCACUUUGAUCGAUUGCUUCUUUCAAAUUGCAAGGAUUUCUGUCUCCAUCUCUUGUAUAUGUACAGAUCAGACAUGAAAGAGGUUAUAUGGACAGAUCAAACAUGAAAGAGGAGGUUUGAAUCUUCUAUAUAUGGGAAUCAAUGUUUAUUCUACUAGUUUUCAGGUGGAACUCGAAGCACAAUAUUGUGUGUAAAUUUUUCAAUCUGAUUUAGUUUGUAAAAGAAUGCUGGUUUUGGUCUUUCAUCUUGAGAUGAGGGAGAAGAAGAGAUACGAAAAAAAAAUUGCACACACUAAAGGCAUCAGGAAAACAAUUGAAACUCCCCUAUCUUGCUUGGACUUCCUUCAUUAAGGUGAAGGAAAAAAAGGCUACGGAAGAAUUGUUAUUGUUAAGACAAAGAGUUACGGAGCUUGAACAUUUAUGGAAUCUGGGUGAGUUAAGAAGCUAUAGAAGUUCAAAGGCUACAGCAAGAAGGUAAUGGCACACAACAUGCUCGAGAAAAGGCCUGAAAUACAGCCGGGGAGGAGUGCUUGCUGUGAUUGAUUUUGUGGGCAUGUUUGAGCUAUUAAAGACAUGGAUUUUGAAGCUGAUGACAAGCAAGGAACUUGGGUACAAUUGAAUAGUUUUGAUGCGCAAAAAUCCAGAUGAAAUGUAUGGUGCUGUGACUGAAUUUUGGUGAAGUAUUUCAAUGAGAAGAUGCUCUGAUUUUGUGGAUUUUGGUCGUGUUUGAGCUGCUGUGAGUUCUCGAGCUAUAAAACAGUGAAGCUCUUGGACUGAAUUUCAGUAGAAGGUGCUGUUGCUGCCGUGCAGAUUGAAUGAUGGGAAUUUGGUGGAUUGCUAUACAGGGAAUGAAUUGGGUGUAUUUGUGCCUGAAAUUCAGACGAGAAGGGCUGGUGAUGGACUGCUUUUGUGAGUCUCUACAAGGAAGUGGAGUUUAGGUCGAGUCUUUUGGCGGAAGACAAUGUCACCAAUGCAGCUGGACUGAACCAUGUUCUUGUCUACUGUAGACAUGGUUUGAUGGCAGGGGACGUGUGUUGGUCUGGGUGUUUGCCGUGACUGAACAUGGACUCUGUUGAUGGGUUUGAGGUGAUUUCAGAGGCCUGUAGGGUUUGUGAAGAUUGAGAUUUGUGCGGUGUUUAUCUUAUGCGACAUUGCAGGAGAAGAAAAGAUAUACAGAGGCGUUAAAAAUACAGAAAAGGGGCGACCUUUACAUCACAGUUCUGCGCCGGCGAAAACCUAAAGGGACUACCAUUAGUUCCAGUUCCUGUGACCUGUACCUGUUCUACAACAACAGCAACUCUGUUUGCUGCCUGGGUUUAAUCUAAACUUUUUCUUCUUUUGAACAUCUUUUAAGCCUUGUAUUUUGGAGAACAUAUGAACAUGAGUAGCUAAAACAAUCUUUGAUUGAGGGCGAUUUCAAAGUCCGAAAUAUGAACCUAUAAUUGAUAUGAAAUAACUUGUUCUCUUGCA